UACGUAGGGCGCAAGCGUUUGUCCGGAUUAUUGGGCGUAAAGAGCGUGUAGGCGGCUUGGUAGGUCCGCUGUGAAAACUCGAGGCUCAACCUCGAGAUGUCGGCGGAAACCACUUGGCUAGAGUCCGGAAGAGGAGAGUGGAAUUCCCGGUGUAGCGGUGAAAUGCGCAGAUAUCGGGAAGAACACCUAUGGCGAAGGCAGCUCUCUGGGACGGUACUGACGCUGAGACGCGAAAGCGUGGGGAGCGAACAGG
rnacentral:rRNA from 1 species